AGCAGCGUGGCUCAGUGGAAAGAGCCUGGGCUUUGGAGUCAGAGGGCAUGAGUUCAAAUCCCAGCUCUGCCA
rfam:Ornithorhynchus anatinus chromosome 2, whole genome shotgun sequence.